rnacentral:rRNA from 1 species
AUUGAACGCUGGCGGCAGGCCUAACACAUGCAAGUCGAGCGGAAGCAGGGCGCUUGCCCCUGGAUUCAGCGGCGGACGGGUGAGUAAUGCCUAAGAAUCUGCAUGGUAGUGGGGGAUAACGUCCGGAAACGGGCGCUAAUACCGCAUACGCCCUGAGGGAGAACGGGGGGGAUCUUCGGCCCUCACGAUAUCAGCUGAGCCUAGGUCGGAUUAGCUAGUUGGUGGGGUAAAGGCCUACCAAGGCGACGAUCCGUAACUGGUCUGAGAGGAUGACCAGCCACACUGGAACUGAGACACGGUCCAGACUCCUACGGGAGGCAGCAGUGGGGAAUUUUGGACAAUGGGCGAAAGCCUGAUCCAGCCAUGCCGCGUGUAUGAAGAAGGUCUUCGGAUUGUAAAGUGCUUUUAUUUGGGAAGAAGUGUAGUAAGUUAAUACCUUGCUGGGUUGACGGUACCUACAGAAUAAGCACCGGCUAACUUCGUG